rnacentral:rRNA from 1 species
UACGAAGGGGGCUAGCGUUGUUCGGAAUCACUGGGCGUAAAGCGCACGUAGGCGGAUCUUUAAGUCAGGGGUGAAAUCCCGAGGCUCAACCUCGGAACUGCCUUUGAUACUGUCGAUCUGGAGUAUGGAAGAGGUGAGUGGAAUUCCGAGUGUAGAGGUGAAAUUCGUAGAUAUUCGGAGGAACACCGGCGGCGAAGGCGGCACUCUGGGCCGGUACUGACGCUGAGGCACGAAAGCGUGGGGAGCAAACAGG